AAAAUUUUACCUGAUCGGGCUUAGUUUGCCCAAAUAGCUGCAGGACCCUGGUUUGCCUUGGAGCGAAACUGCUUGGAGUUUGGUGUGGCAGCCUCCAAGCAACGAAACGAUGUAGUUUGAAUGGGUCAGAAAGGGCUUAAAACGACGUAGUUUUAAGGCUUUUAAACCUUAGCUAUAAAAUCCUCUUUUUCUCCUUUCCUUCUCAUUUCCCUUUACCAUUUUCUCUCUCUACCUGGCGGCAACCUUCCCUCUCUCUAAAACCGAUCCUUUUUUGUCAGCUGGAUUCCCACUUUCUCCAUCGAUUCUGGUGCCCGGAAUUUCUACUCCUCCUGACCGGUGACAGUUGAGCCCCCACCUUUCCUCUAUCCCGCGGUGCGGAAGCCUUUGUCACUGUCCUUCUCUUUCUCUUCACUGGUGACGCUAGAACCACUGGAUGCGUACCUCUUUGUCUCACUCUCUCGUUGCCCGAAUCGUCGGCCACUUUAAAUCUCCCUCAAAACGCCGUCGAUUGACUCCCCCUUCGACGACGAUUGGCUUUUCCUCUCUCUCUCUAUCUAAAACUCCUACCGGCAUCGGUUUCCUCUCACCCAAACUCUAAGAAAGAAAUCCCCCACCACCGACGGUACAAAGGCCUCCUUCACCUUCGAUUUGAGCCAUCCAAAACCCAAAUCCUAUUCUUACAGCCGGCGGCACCUAAAGCUUCCUAUUACUCUAUUUUUUUUCUUUGUUUAUUUUUUAUUUUUCCUUUUUUUAUUUUUUUUUAGUUUGAUUGUGGAUUGUGGUUUUUUGGCUGCUAGACUAGGAAUUUGAUUUAUAGGUUGCUAAGGAUUUCUUAGGGUUUUUGCUUACCGAUCGCUCUUUGAUUUUUGGCUCCAGUGUCUCUUUUAUACUCGAUUUUGCAACCGAGUACCAUUCCAGCCGGAUGCCUUCUUCCCACUACUUUGCCAGACGCGAGUUUUUCAUGUUUGGCACUGUAAUGGUGCUUGGCUGGUACUGGCAGGUGCGUCCGGGCCUUGCCAGUAUUUUUUUCCUUUUUUUAUUUCUUUUCUAAUUAUUUAAUUAAUUAAUUUUCAAUUAUUAUUUUUUUUGUUUGUUUAAGCAAAAUUACAGUGUCUACAUUGGAGGCACCCAAUCAUAGAAACCUCAAGGCUGUCUGGCAUGAUAGUGAGAGCCCCAAGCAUCCCCAACUGCUGAGAAACCAACGCUGGAAGGGGCCUAGUGUCAACAUCCUUUCACAACUCUUAAGGGCUCAUGAAACCAAUGCUGAGAAACCUUGUCUUCCUCCUUGUUCUCCAUCUGAUACUUUACAUUAUUUUUCCUCUAGAGAUAUCAUUAAUGUUAACUAUAAGGUUUUCCAUGUUAUACAAGUUUUGUUUUUAAUAAUCUAAAUUUCUAAUUUUA
rnacentral:lncRNA from 1 species